rnacentral:misc_RNA from 1 species
GAAGGUUUGCGAAGAAAGGUUGAAGGUCAGGGAAGAAUUGUAAGGAAGGUGUUUUUAUGUGAUUCUAGAAUCAAUGACGAGUUUGAAAGAGAAUUGGAGGUCAAAACAUGAAGAAUACAGUGCCAAAAACAUUAUACGGGCCAUGUAACCCACCCCGUGUAACUUCCUGGACCCCGUGUAACUCUCUGGACUGAAGAAAACAUGAAAAAUGAAGUGGUAGAAAUUUACACGAGACGUGUAUCACUACACGGUCCGUGUAAAGUCUCCUGACAGCAAUUCUAAUGCAACUUUUCUUCUCUCCAACUCGACCCGGAUGGACUC